rnacentral:rRNA from 1 species
UACGGGGGGGCAAGCGUUGUUCGGAAUUACUGGGCGUAAAGGGCUCGUAGGCGGCCAACUAAGUCGGACGUGAAAUCCCUCGGCUUAACCGGGGAACUGCGUCCGAUACUGGAUGGCUUGAGUGUGGGAGAGGGAGUGCGGAAUUCCAGGUGUAGCGGUGAAAUGCGUAGAUAUCUGGAGGAACACCGGUGGCGAAGGCGGCAUCCUGGACCGGCAUUGACGCUGAGGCGCGAAAGCCAGGGGAGCAAAGCGGGGA